UUUGCGCUUGUGGACUCUCCAAUACUUGGCAUUGGAUCAGAGACUCCAUUUUCUUGAAAAAUAUCGAUUAGUAACUGGAAAAUUUCAUUGGAUUUGCUGCCUCGCAUUGUCGGUGCUCUAAUUAAUUGCCUUGGUAUUACAUUUCUCUAAUUUCGUGGAGUAAUCUGUAGUAGACAAGCAUAUGAAUGUGGUUCCGUUUAUUUUGUAUCAAGAUGUUGUAGAGACCAAACACUGAUACAGUAUCGCGUUUUUUCUUUUCUUUUUUCCUUUUGGUUGAUGCAAAGAGUUAGAGCAGGAAAAAUGAUCAUCAACAAGCCGCUAGUUUUGACUUACUUGUACCUUUUGAUCUACAUUUUGCUUUCAUCGGCUGUAAUCUUGUAUAACAAGUGGGUUCUCUCACCAAAGUACUUCAACUUUCCAUUUCCCAUCACUCUUACAAUGAUCCAUAUGGCGUUUUCAGGGAUGGUAGCCUUUUUCCUUGUUCGUGUAUUCAAGGUUGUAUCUCCAGUCAAAAUGACUUUUGAAAUAUAUGCAACAUGUGUAAUACCGAUAAGUGCCUUCUUUGCCGCAAGUCUCUGGUUUGGUAACACUGCUUAUUUGUACAUUUCGGUGGCCUUCAUCCAGAUGCUGAAAGCUUUAAUGCCUGUGGCAACAUUUCUCAUGGCUGUUAUGUGUGGCACUGACAAAGCAAGGUGUGACGUGUUCUUAAACAUGGUGCUGGUCAGUGUUGGAGUUGUCAUCUCUUCAUAUGGGGAAAUUCAUUUUAAUGUAGUUGGCACAGUUUACCAGGUCACAGGCAUCUUUGCAGAAGCACUCAGGCUGGUAUUAACUCAGGUCCUCCUUCAGAAAAAGGGCUUGACUUUAAAUCCCAUCACCAGCUUGUAUUACAUAGCUCCAUGCAGUUUUGUCUUUUUGUUUGUGCCUUGGCUUUUACUGGAGAAGCCUGGGAUGCAAGUUUCACAGAUUCAGUUCAAUUUUUGGAUUUUCUUCUCCAAUGCACUUUCUGCAUUAGCCUUGAACUUCUCCAUAUUCCUAGUAAUUGGUAGAACUGGAGCAGUCACCAUAAGGGUUGCUGGCGUUUUAAAAGACUGGAUACUGAUAGCCCUUUCGACUAUCAUAUUUCCUGAGUCUACAAUAACAGGACUGAAUAUACUUGGUUAUGCAAUUGCACUUUGUGGUGUUGUCAUGUACAACUACCUAAAGGUUAAGGAUGUCCGUGCUUCUCAGCUCCCUGAAACUAUUCCAGAAAGAAUCACAAAGGAUUGGAAGUUGGAGAAGAAGUCAUCUGAUAUAUACGUACCUAGUAACAACAGUGAUAACAAUGGAGGAGGAGGUGGAGGUAGUAAUUCUUC
rnacentral:misc_RNA from 1 species